GUCCCGCCCUCGCAUGCGCCUGGUGGUCACCGCGGACGACUUUGGUUACUGCCCGCGACGCGAUGAGGGUAUCGUGGAGGCCUUUCUGGCCGGGGCCGUGACCAGCGUGUCCCUGCUGGUCAACGGUGCGGCCACGGAGAGCGCGGCGGAGUUGGCCCGCAGGCACAGCAUCCCCACGGGCCUCCACGCCAACCUGUCCGAGGGCCGCCCCGUGGGUCCGGCCCGCCGUGGCGCCUCGUCGCUGCUCGGCCCGGAAGGCUUCUUCCUUGGCAAGAUGGGAUUCCGGGAGGCAGUGGCGGCCGGAGACGUGGAUUUGCCUCAGGUGCGGAGCCGCAGCUACAGGAGGAUGCUCGCGAGGACCCCCAGAGCUCCGCCCGGAGGGUACUGUGAGGGCGUUAGGAGCUGGCGGUGGAUGACUUCCUCAUUCAAACACUGGAGCCGCCACACGGAAGCACGAGGAGGGUAUCUUCGGCAGCUACUCUCGGUCGCUCAAGGUGUCUCUCGCUCGCCCUCUAGGUGCGGGAGGAGCUCGAGGCCCAACUAAGCUGCUUCCGGGAGCUGCUGGGCAGGGCCCCCACGCACGUGGACGGGCACCAGCACGUGCACGUGCUCCCAGGUGCGUGGUUAGUGAUCCCAGUUUGGAGGGCGUUACUCCCAGGCGGGGCUGGGGGAGUAGGGGAAGUUCGAUGCCCCCAGGUGAAGGGACGUGCUCCUCCCUGACCCGCUCCGCCCGCAGGCGUGUGCCAGGUGUUCGCCGAGGCGCUGCAGGCCUAUGGGGUGCGCUUUACGCGACUGCCGCUGGAGCGCGGUGUGGGUGGCUGCACUUGGCUGGAGGCCCCCGCGCGCGCCUUCGCCUGCGCCGUGGAGCGCGACGCCCGGGCCGCCGUGGGCCCCUUCUCCCGCCACGGCCUGCGGUGGACAGACGCCUUCGUGGGCCUGAGCACUUGCGGCCGGCACAUGUCCGCUCACCGCGUGUCCGGGGCCCUGGCGCGGGUCCUGGAAGGUACCCUAGCGGGCCACACCCUGACAGCCGAGCUGAUGGCGCACCCCGGCUACCCCAGUGUGCCUCCCACCGGCGGCUGCGGUGAAGGCCCCGACGCUUUCUCUUGCUCUUGGGAGCGGCUGCAUGAGCUGCGCGUCCUCACCGCGCCCACGCUGCGGGCCCAGCUUGCCCAGGAUGGCGUGCAGCUUUGCGCCCUCGACGACCUAGACUCCAAGAGGCCAGGGGAGGAGGUCCCCUGUGAGGCCACUCUGGAAGCCUUCCUGGAACCCUCCCUACUCUGACCCCCUACAGACAACCAAGCACUAAUCCCCUUAGUACCAAGAAAGGGGAGCCAGGAUUUAGUCCCGGCCCAGCCCACAGCCGGGCCCUGGAGCACGAUCUGUUGACUUCCCUGGGUAGGACACUGCCACCUCUGGGCCCAGGUCCUCAUGGCUCCAAAUGGCAUCUAGAGUUUGAGCAGCCUUCUUGGCUGUAGGCAGGCCCAGCCUGUGGCAGCGGGCUAGGGCCCGCAGAGCAUUUGGUGCCCCUCCAUGUUGCAGUGCAAACAUCUUCACCACUGGGGCAGUGGGGAGAGAUGGCUAUAUUAAUAAAAUAACGUGUGUCUUUCAAA
rnacentral:sRNA from 1 species